AACGCACCUUGCGCUCCUUGGUAUUCCGAGGAGCAUGCCUGUUUGAGUGUCAUUAAUAUAUCAAACCUUCUCUUGUUGAGUGGUUUUGGAUGUGGGGGUUUUUUGCUGGCGCUUAACCUGUUCAGCUCCCCUGAAAUGCAUUAGCAGAACAAACCUGGUUCAUUGGUGUGAUAACUAUCUACGCCGCUGAAUGUGAGGGGGCAGUUCAGCUUUCUUAACGGUCCUUGGACAACUCAUCAUUAAUGUGACCUCAAAUCAGGUAGGACUACCCGCUGAACUUAA
rnacentral:misc_RNA from 1 species